rnacentral:rRNA from 1 species
UGCCAGCAGCCGCGGUAAUACCGGCGCCUCAAGUGGUAGUCGCUUUUAUUGGGCCUAAAACGUCCGUAGCCGGUCUGAUACAUUCGUGGGUAAAUCAACCAGCUCAACUGGUUGAAUUCUGCGAGGACGGUCAGACUUGGGACCGGGAGAGGUGUGGGGUACGCUCAGGGUAGGGGUAAAAUCCUGUCAUCCUGAGCGGACCACCUGUUGCGAAGGCGCCACACUAGAACGGAUCCGACGGUCAGGGACGAAGCCUAGGGGCACGAACCGGAUUAGAUA